rnacentral:rRNA from 1 species
GAUGAACGCUGGCGGCGUGCCUAAUACAUGCAAGUCGAGCGAACAGACGAGGAGCUUGCUCCUCUGACGUUAGCGGCGGACGGGUGAGUAACACGUGGAUAACCUACCUAUAAGACUGGGAUAACUUCGGGAAACCGGAGCUAAUACCGGAUAAUAUAUUGAACCGCAUGGUUCAUUAGUGAAAGACGGUUUUGCUGUCACUUAUAGAUGGAUCCGCGCCGCAUUAGCUAGUUGGUAAGGUAACGGCUUACCAAGGCGACGAUGCGUAGCCGACCUGAGAGGGUGAUCGGCCACAUUGGAACUGAGACACGGUCCAGACUCCUACGGGAGGCAGCAGUAGGGAAUCGUCCGCAAUGGGCGAAAGCCUGACGGAGCAACGCCGCGUGAGUGAUGAAGGUCUUCGGAUCGUAAAACUCUGUUAUUAGGGAAGAACAAAUGUGUAAGUAACUAUGCACGUCUUGACGGUACCUAAUCAGAAAGCCACGGCUAACUACGUG